UACGGGGGGAGCAAGCGUUGUUCGGAUUUACUGGGCGUAAAGGGCGCGUAGGCGGUCGUGACAAGUCACUUGUGAAAUCUCCGGGCUUAACUCGGAACGGUCAAGUGAUACUGUCGGACUAGAGUACAGAAGGGGCAACUGGAAUUCUCGGUGUAGCGGUGAAAUGCGUAGAUAUCGAGAGGAACACCUGCGGCGAAGGCGGGUUGCUGGGCUGAUACUGACGCUGAGGCGCGAAAGCCAGGGGAGCGAACGGGAUUAGA
rnacentral:rRNA from 1 species